rnacentral:rRNA from 1 species
UACGUAGGGUGCAAGCGUUAAUCGGAAUUACUGGGCGUAAAGCGUGCGCAGGCGGUUAUGUAAGACAGAUGUGAAAUGCCCGGGCUUAACCUGGGAACUGCAUUUGUGACUGCAUGGCUAGAGUUUGGCAGAGGGGGGUAGAAUUCCACGUGUAGCAGUGAAAUGCGUAGAUAUGUGGAGGAACACCGAUGGCGAAGGCAGCCCCCUGGGUCAAGACUGACGCUCAUGCAC